rnacentral:rRNA from 1 species
GAUGAACGCUGGCGGCGUGCCUAAUACAUGCAAGUCGAGCGAACAGACGAGGAGCUUGCUCCUCUGACGUUAGCGGCGGACGGGUGAGUAACACGUGGAUAACCUACCUAUAAGACUGGGAUAACUUCGGGAAACCGGAGCUAAUACCGGAUAAUAUAUUGAACCGCAUGGUUCAAUAGUGAAAGACGGUUUUGCUGUCACUUAUAGAUGGAUCCGCGCCGCAUUAGCUAGUUGGUAAGGUAACGGCUUACCAAGGCAACGAUGCGUAGCCGACCUGAGAGGGUGAUCGGCCACACUGGAACUGAGACACGGUCCAGACUCCUACGGGAGGAAGCAGUAGGGAAUCUUCCGCAAUGCGCGAAAGCUUGACGGAGCAACGCCGCGUGAGUGAUGAAGGUCUUCGGAUCGUAAAACUCUGUUAUUAGGGAAGAACAAAUGUGUAAGUAACUAUGCACGUCUUGACGGUACCUAAUCAGAAAGCCACGGCUAACUACGUG